UGCGUAGGCGGAAUAUUAAGUCAGUGGUGAAAUCCUGCGGCUCAACCGUAGAACUGCCAUUGAUACUGAUAUUCUUGAAUGUAGUUGAGGUAGGCGGAAUGUGUAAUGUAGCGGUGAAAUGCUUAGAUAUUACACAGAACACCGAUUGCGAAGGCAGCUUACUAAACUAUGAUUGACGCUGAGGCACGAAAGCGUGGGGAGCGAACAGGAUUAGAUACCCUGGUAGUC
rnacentral:rRNA from 1 species